rnacentral:ribozyme from 14 species
AAGAAGAAAUGGGAAAAUACGAAACAUAGUUUAUAGAUGCUAUUUUUAGCGAUGUGACUUCUUCCAUGUUUAUUUUCUCCUUUCAUUAAAAAUCAGCUAUCCUAUUAAUAGUCUAUUAUAAUUCAUGAUGAAGGGGUAAAUCCUAAAUG